GAUCAUAUAGUAGUUUAAUUUAAGAAUAAUAAUUUGUGGUAUUAUAGGUGAAUUAUGUAUUUCCUUUGAUCC
rnacentral:tRNA from 1 species